GACGAACGCUGGCGGCGUGCUUAACACAUGCAAGUCGAACGAAGAGCGACGGAAGCUUGCUUCUAUCAAUCUUAGUGGCGAACGGGUGAGUAACGCGUAAUCAACCUGCCCUUCAGAGGGGGACAACAGUUGGAAACGACUGCUAAUACCGCAUACGAUCUAAUCUCGGCAUCGAGGAUGGAUGAAAGGUGGCCUCUACAUGUAAGCUAUCACUGAAGGAGGGGAUUGCGUCUGAUUAGCUAGUUGGAGGGGUAACGGCCCACCAAGGCGAUGAUCAGUAGCCGGUCUGAGAGGAUGAACGGCCACAUUGGGACUGAGACACGGCCCAGACUCCUACGGGAGGCAGCAGUGGGGGAUCUUCCGCAAUGGACGAAAGUCUGACGGAGCAACGCCGCGUGAGUGAUGACGGCCUUCGGGUUGUAAAGCUCUGUUAAUCGGGACGAAAGGCCUUCUUGCGAAUAGUGAGAAGGAUUGACGGUACCGGAAUAGAAAG
rnacentral:rRNA from 1 species